UAGUUUUUACCGCCUAUAUACCGCCGUCGCAAGCUUACCCUGUGAAGGUCUUGUAGUGAGCAUAAUCGGCAUAGCCCAAAACGUCAGGUCGAGGUGUAGCUUAUGGAGGGGGCAGCAAUGGGCUACAUUCCCUAACACCAGGGAAUACGAAUAAUACGUUGCAACACGUACUUGAAGGAGGAUUUAGCAGUAAGCAGCAAGCAGAGAGUCCCGCUGAAGCCGGCUAUGAAGCGUGUACACACCGCCCGUCACUCUCCCCAAGCAUAUCACAUAAAAUUGAUAAUGAACCUGAGCCGCAAAGGGGAGGCAAGUCGUAACACGGUAAGUGUACCGGAAGGUGCACUUGGACCAAA
rnacentral:rRNA from 1 species